AAAAGAACCCCGGCGAGGGGAGUGAAAAAGAACCUGAAACCGUGUACGUACAAGCAGUGGGAGCACAGGUUUACCUGUGUGACUGCGUACCUUUUGUAUAAUGGGUCAGCGACUUAUAUUCUGUAGCAAGGUUAACCGAAUAGGGGAGCCGGAGGGAAACCGAGUCUUAAUUGGGCGUUAAGUUGCAGGGUAUAGACCCGAAACCCGGUGAUCUAGCCAUGGGCAGGUUGAAGGUUGGGUAACACUAACUGGAGGACCGAACCGACUAAUGUUGAAAAAUUAGCGGAUGACCUGUGGCUGGGGGUGAAAGGCCAAUCAAACCGGGAGAUAGCUGGUUCUCCCCGAAAGCUAUUUAGGUAGCGCCUCGUGAAUUCAUCUCCGGGGGUAGAGCACUGUUUCGGCUAGGGGGCCAUCCCGGCUUACCAACCCGAUGCAAACUGCGAAUACCGGAGAAUGUUAUCACGGGAGACACACGGCGGGUGCUAACGUCCGUCGUGAAGAGGGAAACAACCCAGACCGCCAGCUAAGGUCCCAAAGUCAUGGUUAAGUGGGAAACGAUGUGGGAAGGCCCAGACAGCCAGGAUGUUGGCUUAGAAGCAGCCAUCAUUUAAAGAAAGCGUAAUAGCUCACUGGUCGAGUCGGCCUGCGCGGAAGAUGUAACGGGGCUAAACCAUGCACCGAAGCUGCGGCAGCGACACUCAGGUGUUGUUGGGUAGGGGAGCGUUCUGUAAGCCUGCGAAGGUGGCCUGUGAGGGU
rnacentral:rRNA from 1 species